rnacentral:rRNA from 1 species
GACAGAGGGUGCAAACGUUGUUCGGAAUUACUGGGCGUAAAGCGUGCGCAGGCGGUUAUUUAAGUCAGGCGUGAAAGCCCUGGGCUUAACCUAGGAAUUGCGCUUGAGACUGGAUAGCUUGGAGUGCGGCAGAGGGAGGUGGAAUUCCACGUGUAGCAGUGAAACGCGUAGAGAUGUGGAGGAACACCGAUGGCGAAGGCAGCCUCCUGGGCCAGCACUGACGCUCAUGCACGAAAGCGUGGGGAGCAAACAGG